CUGGGUGGCUCAGUCGGUUGAGUGUCCGACUUUGACUCAGGUCAUGAUCUCACAUUCUUGAGUUUGUGCCCCAUGUUAGGGUCUGUGCUGACAGCUCAGAGCCUAGAGCUUGCUUCAGAUCCUGUGUCUCCUCUCUCUCUCUGCUCCUCCCCUGCUUGUACUCUGUCUCUGUC